rnacentral:snoRNA from 1 species
UGGAGAGAUGAAUGACCUUCCACGUCUUUAAUUUUAUCCGGCGAUGAUUCUUCGAAUAUGUGCCACGGAUACCAAUCAUGCAUCACCAUCUGACC